GGGCCCAUGGGCGGUAAAUCGUUUUUAGGGCGGUUUUUGGUGGACCAUCAUCGUCCACCCUCGUCCGCUUGAGCACGGAGCGCCUUAGAGCAACAUGCCGGGUCUCCCAGACUUCCGAGAGGAACCUGGCUAGUGCCAGGGGUGGGGCUUCGGUCAUAAUGGUGUGCAUGUUGCACCCUUGAAACACGAGGUCACGUUCGCCCGUGUACUAAUGUACGCCAGGCAUUCCACAAAGACAUGCAUUUUGUCUUCAACCGCCCCGCAGUCACAAAGCCUGCAGGUGCACGCUGUGCACUCAUGGCCAUUAGGUUGGUUAAUCUCUAACUCCCAACAGCCUAACCGGAAACAUAUAAGCAUUUGAUGCAAACAUUGGGGCAUGGCGAUUUCAGGUGGUCAUUAUGGAUUUCAGCACGAACAAUGAACCCUGCCCGCUCCCCCUGGUCAGUUGUGGGCAAGCAUCAGAGAAUCGGGUGAGAGACCGAGCUUUCUAUUAGGGCCUGGUGCCUUAAUAGGGAGGGGUAGGGUCUGUACAGGGUUUCCGGGUUUCCUCGGUCUUCUUGAACCUUCACCCCAAGAGCCAGUCUUCUUGUGUGUUUCAGGCUCAGUGCUCAAACUCG
rnacentral:lncRNA from 1 species